rnacentral:sRNA from 1 species
CCAUAGCCCUGAUCGCAGCGACAUCCUUUUUGUGACGAGGCACGAGGUGCAAAAAGAUACAGCGGAGAGCAGGUUCUCGG